GCCUAGUGCCACCCACCGACGGCUCUCGAAACUUGUUGCGAUCUCACAAGAACGUUUGUCAUGCCUUCUAGGAUGUGUAUCAACCCAAUACAUAACAAGAAAGGAAUCCUGCAUCACUCUGAUAAUGCAAGUUUAAAGGAAAGAUUCAAUGGAAGAUUCUGUUGAGAUAGUGUGAUUGAGAAGCUGCUUCAUGUUACAAAGGAAUUAAAACCAGGUAAUACAAAAUUGCUUGCAUAUGAUGUGAAUUCGGAACCAACUUAGCUAUUUCAAGUCUGAUAUAUCCUAAAGCAACCCUUUUCACCUAACCUUCUCUAGUUCCAAACCUCAUAAAAACCCAUUUUUGGUGUAAUUCUUUAGUGCUAUGGCUUUUCAGCAACCUUUUUCAUUGCUGAAUCUGCCGAC